CAAGAUGGCCGCGACUUUGUUAGAGUAAAAAUGUGUGUCGUGGCUUUAUACACUUAUUUUUGUAAUAAUAAUUGUUAAACAAUUAUAAAUUGUCAUUAAAUCAAUUAAUUAAAUUAUUCUGAACACAAUGUGCUAUAAAUUAUUGGGGAAUUUUGUGAAUUUUGACAAAAAUCAAUAGACAUGUCAAAGCUCUUGGAGCUGACGAAGGCAAUUUUCAAUUUGUUAAAAAAUAGACAAAUGGUUUCCUUGGAUAUGUCAAAAGUUUUCCAGCCUGGACAAAUGCCAUGGCAUUUACAACAAAAAAUGACAGAAGAUACAAAAAAAAAACGAUGACCAGAAAUUAUUUGAAAAAAUGUCAUGACAAGAACAAAAGUAUUGGCCCUUCAUUGAACAAGGAGAGAUAUAUCUCGAUAUUUCAAAGUUAAACAAGUCUGGACAGACACCAGUGCAUUUACAAUGCUAAAUGGCUACAGAUACAAAAAAAGUGGGCUGGAUAUUAUAUGAAAAAUACGUCUGAAAAAAUAACAGAGAUCUUGGCACAAUAAAUAAUGUGAGUAGUGGGACUACUAAAUUAAACUGCAUCGUGUUGACAGAUAGAGAUAAAAUUAAAAUGGGUUUAAUCGACGAGUUACAUUGCUGUUUCAUCACAAUUAGCAAGUAGUGAAAAUGAUGAUAAUGCUGAUGGUGAUGAAAGUGGAGUUUCAACUGUCUGCUAAUUGUAAUCAUAUAAGAAAAUAAUCAUUGAUAAGCGUUGAAGCAUUUAAAUGCUCCUAGAUCUUCUACAAAGGGCGUUGGUGUAUCUAAAAGCUGUCUCCUAGAUCUUCUAAAUAGGCGUUGGUGUAUCUGAUGUAGUAUUACAUAUAUGUAUGCUAAAUGCUGUCUUCCAGAACUUCUAAAUAAGGUAAGAGGCCCUCUGGUCACUUUUUUAACCAAUCCCUCGAGGUAAAGUGCGUCAACAAGCUUGUAACUUGAAAGAAUUCAUGAUAUAAUUCUUUUAAGCUACUUGAUAAUUAUUCCCAAUAUUUAUAUUUUAUAUAUUUUUGUGACUUGCAGCUCACCUUGAUUACUUUUUCCUUUUUUUUUUUAUUCAAAUUAUAAAAUUGAAUGCCAG